rnacentral:tRNA from 1 species
GCAGUGGUGAUUCAGCAGUAGAAUUCUCACCUUCCACCUGGGAGGCCCAGGUUUGAUUCCUGGCCAAUGCA